rnacentral:rRNA from 1 species
UGCAGUCGAACGCGAACGCACCUUCGGGUGUUAUUAGAGUGGCGGACGGGUGAGUAACACGUGGGAACAUGCCUUUCGGUACGGAACAACGCUUGGAAACGAGUGCUAAUACCGUAUACGCCCUUAGGGGGAAAGAUUUAUCGCCGAAAGAUUGGCCCGCGCUAGAUUAGCUAGUUGGUAAGGUAAUGGCUUACCAAGGCGACGAUCUAUAGCUGGUUUGAGAGGAUGAUCAGCCACACUGGGACUGAGACACGGCCCAGACUCCUACGGGAGGCAGCAGUGGGGAAUAUUGGACAAUGGGGGCAACCCUGAUCCAGCGAUGCCGCGUGAGUGAUGAAGGCCUUAGGGUUGUAAAACUCUUUCAGAUGGGAUGAUAAUGACAGUACCAUCAGAAGAAGCUCCGGCUAACUCCGUGCCAGCAGCCGCGGUAAUACGGAGGGAGCUAGCGUUGUUCGGAAUUACUGGGCGUAAAGCGCGCGUAGGCGGCUUUGCAAGUAGGGGGUGAAAUCCCGGGGCUUAACCCCGGAACUGCCCUCUAAACUGCAGAGCUAGAAUCCUGGAGAGGUGAGUGGAAUUCCUAGUGUAGAGGUGAAAUUCGUAGAUAUUAGGAAGAACACCAGUGGCGAA